AGUAAUACAUAAGUAACCUGCCCUAGACAGGGGGAUAACUAUUGGAAACGAUAGCUAGACCGCAUAGGUACGGACACUGCAUGGUGACCGUAUUAAAAGUGCCUCAAAGCACUGGUAGAGGAUGGACUUAUGGCGCAUUAGCUGGUUGGCGGGGUAACGGCCCACCAAGGCGACGAUGCGUAGCCGACCUGAGAGGGUGACCGGCCACACUGGGACUGAGACACGGCCCAG
rnacentral:rRNA from 1 species